rfam:Brachypodium distachyon strain Bd21 chromosome 3, whole genome shotgun sequence.
GAUAUACUCCCUCCGUCCCGUAUUAAGUGACUUUUCAUUACAUGUAUCUAGACAUUUUUGAGAUAUAGAUACAUCAAUAUUUGGGAAAAUUUGAGUCAUUUAAUAUGGGACGGAGGGAAUAGAUG